GCUCGGGAGUGGAUCGGUGUUUCUCACACUCUCCCUUCUCUGCGAACGCGUCGCUUACGUCUGUGUGUUUGUCCCACCAAAUAGGUUGGGCUUUUGUGUGAUUAAUAUAGGCCCAAAUAUGAUUAGGUUAUUUUUCUUCUUGGUCGUUCUUCUUCUUCCCUGCCUCUUGACAGAAAGUCGACAACGUAACGUCCCAAGAAUAUUUGCUCUGAUAUUUAUUCUGAGUUUUCCUUUCAUUAAUCCUUUCAUUUAAUUCUCACUUAUCUCUCGUCUUUUCAACUUCAUUAUUUUCAAUCCUAUAAAUUGAGGACCAUAACUUUGCUCUAGCAAACAAUCCAUUCCUUGGAACACAGCCUACAAAAAUGAGGCAAUAUUAGCUUUGUUCAGACUUCAGACAACAAAUUACUUAGAAAGCUCAUAACACCUUCUCUUCCACAAUCCAAUGACAAAACCAAAGCUCUCCAAAUAACCCCUGAAAUCCAUUCAUGGCAUCAAAAGAUCUACGGGUAUUGCUUCUAUCUUUCUAUAAAUAUUUUAGUCAUUUGGAUUCUGUUUCGGCCAGUAUGAUAUAAUAUGAUAUUGAUUCUUUCUCGCCUUGAAAUUUAAGUUCAAGUUCAUGUUUCUUUAUAAAGGUCAACAUUAUUUUUUUCUUUUCUACAUUUCUGAUACUCCACCUAUAUUAUAGCGUAAGAGAAUCCCUAAAAUUGACGUUCCUAAAACUGAUACCAUGUAAUUAAAAAAUACUUCACCUAUAUUUGUUCUUAUGAGGUGUCGUUUGUGGAGCUAAUUUUUUUAAUUGUAUUUUGCAUUGCGGUUAAGUGUAUGUGAAGUAUUUUUUAGGACUAAUGAUUAGUAUGGUUGUAGCUUGAUCAAUGUGUUAUUGUAUUUCCUGCAGAUGAUGCUUUUCUCCAUCUGAUUCAGCCAAUGAAAUAAGCAUAUUGAUCACAAUAAUGCUCUUUAGCUUCUAUGACUAUGAGCAAACACUAAUGGUUGGUUUUUAAUAUGUCCACUUGAAUUUCUCUUAUCAGAUGCAUAAGACUGUGAUAGUCUUUGAAAGUGGUCAAACCACAUGAAUUUUAUGUUGAUUUUGAGAUGAUUUUGUACUUUACUGCAACCUCCAACCACCUCAGUUACGGUGCGCACUGCUUACUGCAAUGGGCGUCUCCUACAAGCCAAAGAACCUUGCCAUUGCUUCCAGAAGAUUCUUUGGCACUAACCCAAAUCUAGCGAGCUAGGCCAAGAUGGCUACAGCUACACAAGUUGUGCAAAUCCCUAAACGCAACAUGACCCAUGAAACCAAGCUUAACUACGACUUAAAAACCCGUUUGUGAUAUGCAGGUCAACUUAUAUCCCGAUCUGCAUAGGACAAAAGGAUGUGUCAUGUCCUUCACCGCCCGGUUUCUACCAACCCAGGAAGAAAGCGUAUGUUCUGUAUGUGAUAUUGCAGUCAUUGGCGUAGACGCAUCUGGUCUGCUCGCUUUGCUCUCCGUUUCAAGUCCGGUGAUCAAUUCAGAUUGGUAACUUUGAGAGUCUUAUGUGGUUUUCUACCUCUGUGGAUGAGGUUAAGUAAAAGUGACUUUAAAUAAAGAAAAAUAUUGUUUUGACAAAGUUAUACAUAUUCUGCAAUUUGUAAAUUGUGAAUGAUGUAGCUAGGACUAUAAUCUAUUAUUUUAUAUAUAGUCAUUGUAGGAGUUCGUUUAUAUAUUUUUUAACUUACUUCAA